rnacentral:sRNA from 1 species
AUUAGGAGAGAGAGAAUCGUAAUAGUAUUAUAUAUUGACUAAUCUUUAACGCUUUCAUUUUUUCAAUAAGUAUCUUAAAGCAUUCCAAAUUUUUGAAGCAAGAAAGGAAAAUAUGUAAAUUUAGUAUCUUUUUCCAUCUUCCUUAAAAAAAAUUAUUUUCCAUAUUGAUAUCCAAAUGACUUUACCCUGAGCUGCUUUUAAAUAUUACGAGCAGAAGCUUCUUAACCUCGACAGUGUUGCAAGCUGGAAGAAUUCAUUGUUAAAAAUAAACAAGGCUAAGUGACUGACCCGCGAAAAUGUGGAUUCAUUUUCUCUAUUGCGUAAGCCUUUUUCUUUUGGAGGCUAAAGGAGCUACUGCCCAUAUGGUCUUUUACGCUGAACAAAUUAAAGAAUAAUUCUUUGCAAAGUUCCUUUUUUUUUAUUUCUUUCUAAAGCUGAAGCAAAGGAAACAAAUUCAAGAUUAAACCAAGAUAUAUCUACUCUGGAAUCGAAAUGGAAAAAAGAGAAAGAAAUAAAGAUGCUUACUUGGAAAGAGUUACCGUUAAUAGCUGUUAUACUUAUAGCAUCCUGUAUACUAUAUUGGUAUAUUAGUCCUGAAACCUUUAAGGAUUUUUUAAUAAUUCAGUUAAGCAGUUUUUUUAAUUUAAUUUUAAUUCAUAUUGCUACUCGACAUUUCUCCAUUCCUUCAAAAGAUGGAUUAAAACUUUUCUGGGCCAAGAAGAAGUCGUAGUAUAUAUGCAUUUUUGAAUUUUAAAACAACUACAUAAAGGACCGUUUUUUAAUUUCAUUUAUAAUUUUGUUUUAAUUUAUUUAAUUUCCUCUGUAGUACAUUUUUUAUUCAUCCCCUUAACUGUGACGCCACUUUUUCAUAUGAUAUAAGAGAUAAGAAAAUCCUGUUAUCAUUACUAUUAGUAAUUAAAUGUAAU